UAGUCUAGUGGUUAAGGCUCUGGAUCGCCAAUCCGGAGACGGCGGGUUUGAUUCCCGU
rnacentral:tRNA from 1 species